rnacentral:rRNA from 1 species
UACGUAGGGUGCGAGCGUUAAUCGGAAUUACUGGGCGUAAAGCGUGCGCAGGCGGUUUCUUAAGUCAGAUGUGAAAGCCCCGGGCUUAACCUGGGAACUGCGUUUGAGACUGGGAGACUUGAGUGUGGCAGAGGGGGGUGGAAUUCCACGUGUAGCAGUGAAAUGCGUAGAUAUGUGGAGGAACACCGAUGGCGAAGGCAGCCCCCUGGGCUAACACUGACGCUCAUGCACGAAAGCGUGGGGAGCAAACAGG